CUCCCCCAUCCUUACUGCAGACACAGUAAAACUUAUAUUGUGUACUGUCAUUGUCCUGGGGGUAGAUUAAGAUGCCUUUUUCCCUCCCCAGUGGGAAUUAAUGUAAUAUCCUCUGGGGCCUAUAGAAUGUGCUGACAAC